rnacentral:lncRNA from 1 species
GGCGCAUCCGGGGUCCGUAGGCCUCGCCGAGCCUCCCUUUCCUCACCACUGCGUACUAGGGCCCGAAGCCUAGCGAACUCCACUUGCCCCGGCUUCCUCCGACUCCCAGCCCGGAUAGGCCCCGUUGAAGUCCGGGCCUCCACCCUGAGCUCUCUGUUCCUGUAGCACGGCUUCGGCCCUCCAGUCGCUACCGCCACCUCGCCUGUCUGUACCCCACAAGGCGCACCUUUGAAUAGGUAAUCGUACUCGUCGUCCCGGGUCCCCAUUGUCCUGGCGCUUCCGGCGGGAUCGGCGACUCCGCAGCCCCACCACAAACACCCGUCGGGGGCGGAACCGGCGCCGCGUAGAGCGGCGGUCUAAAGGCCAGUCAACGGUGAAAGCGGUAGUGACAGGCACCUGGACAAGCCAAUCAGGCUGAGAAACCGAGCUCGGGGGGUAGGAGCCUCCUGGGAUCCACCCUUCUAGCCCUCGGUCUCCCGGAGAAAGGCGGAAGGAAUGCGGACCUUUUUGAAAUGACAGAUUCAGCAGCCUAUCAAAAGCAGAUGGGGGAAGGCGGGACGGAACACUUGAACAAUGAAGUGGAUUGACAGAGUGCGUAACCAAUGAGAGACUGAACUCAGACUGGGCCUUCCAGCGAACCUGUAGGGGAAGGGAAAUUGAGCUACCUCUAGGUGACGUUACGGACUUUAACGUCCUGAUGACAUCAUAGAUCAGUGGGUCUCCUCCGACCUCUUAUUCUAGCCCCAUAAAUGACCAUUUCCGGGCGUAUGUUCGUUGAUUGGGGGUGCCUUCUCUGGGUUGCAGUUCCCCAGUUCUUUGUUUAAAUACAAAGCUUAUGUCAGUACCUCCAAAACAAAUGGGGAUCCUAGGCUUUUUUAUUUGUUCCUCUUCUCAAAAAGUUCUCUUGUUUUCUGCUUUCACCAUUACUCAUAUUUUUUCUUUUCUUUUUUUAAGACAGGUUUUUCACUAUGAAACCCUAGCUAGACUGGAAUUGGUGAUAUGGAUCAGACUAUACCUGUCUGAUUUUCUUUUUUCUUUAUUGUUUUUUUUUUUUUUUUUUUUUUUUUUUUUUGUGACAGGGUCGCACCAUGUAGCCCUGGCCAUCUGGAACUUGCCCUGUAUAGACCAGGCUGGCCUUGAACACAGAGAGCUGCCUGUCUCUGCCUCCCAAGUGCUGGGAUUAGAGGCAUUGGCCACCACCACCCAGCUUGAUUUUGUUUGUUUGCUUGUUUGUUUGUUUGUUUGUUUGUUUGUUGAGACGAGGCCUCAAGUUACCCUGACUAGCUUCAUAUUGAAGAGGGAGUAGAGAUAGAGAAAGGGAGAGAGAGUGGCAAGGAGGGGGGUGGAGAGAGAAGAGGAGAGGCCGGCCAGGGAGAAGGGGCAGAGUGUAGGAUAAGAGAGGAGGGGGGCAAACAGCCCCUUUUCUAGUGAGUUAGUCAUACCUAGCUAUUGCCAGGUAACUGGGAGCCUAGAAGGAAUGAUAACAAUACAUAUUUACUUUGAACUAACUUCUUUUUUUCUUGUUCUGUUUUAUUUGGAGCACAGGGUCUCCCUGCCUAGAACCUGAUAUUUAACACUGAGAGAUCCACCUGGCUCUGCGCCGCUAAACACGCCACCUCGUGCUAGCCAACUUUGAACUUAUGAUUCUCUUGUACACUGGUAACUUGGAAGUUACCUCUCGGGGGCUGGAGAGAUGGCUCAGUGGUUAAGAGACUGACUGCUCUUCCAGAGGUCCUGAGUUCAAUUCCAAGCACAUGGUGGCUCACAACCAUCUGUAAUGGGAUCUGAUGCCCUCUUCUGGUUUGUCUGAAGACAGAUACAGUGUACUCGUCACAUAUAUAAAAUAAAUAAAUAAAAUCUUUUUUUAAAAAUUUA